UGCGUAGGCGGACUCGUCAGUGUCUUGUGAAAGCCCACGGCUCAACCGUGGAACUGCAUGGCAUACUGCGAGUCUUGAGGCUGGUAGGGGUCGCUGGAACUGUAGGUGUAGCGGUGAAAUGCGUAGAUAUCUACAGGAACGCCGAUGGUGAAGACGAGCGACUGGGCCAGUUCUGACGCUGAGGCACGAAAGCGUGGGGAGCAAACAGGAUUAGAUACCCUGGUAGUCC
rnacentral:rRNA from 1 species